UACAGAGGUCCCAAGCGUUGUUCGGAUUCAUUGGGCGUAAAGGGUGCGUAGGCGGCGCGGUAAGUCGGGUGUGAAAGCCCCGGGCUCAACCUGGGAAUUGCAUUCGAGACUGCGUAGCUAGGGUGCGGAAGAGGGAAGCGGAAUUUCCGGUGUAGCGGUGAAAUGCGUAGAUAUCGGAAGGAACACCAGUGGCGAAAGCGGCUUCCUGGUCCAGCACCGACGUUCAGGCACGAAAGCGUGGGGAGCAAACAGG
rnacentral:rRNA from 1 species